rnacentral:rRNA from 1 species
GAUGAACGCUGGCGGCGUGCCUAAUACAUGCAAGUCGAGCGAACGGACGAGAAGCUUGCUUCUCUGAUGUUAGCGGCGGACGGGUGAGUAACACGUGGAUAACCUACCUAUAAGACUGGGAUAACUUCGGGAAACCGGAGCUAAUACCGGAUAAUAUUUUGAACCGCAUGGUUCAAUAGUGAAAGACGGUCUUGCUGUCACUUAUAGAUGGAUCCGCGCUGCAUUAGCUAGUUGGUAAGGUAACGGCUUACCAAGGCAACGAUGCAUAGCCGACCUGAGAGGGUGAUCGGCCACACUGGAACUGAGACACGGUCCAGACUCCUACGGGAGGCAGCAGUAGGGAAUCUUCCGCAAUGGGCGAAAGCCUGACGGAGCAACGCCGCGUGAGUGAUGAAGGUCUUCGGAUCGUAAAACUCUGUUAUUAGGGAAGAACAUAUGUGUAAGUAACUGUGCACAUCUUGACGGUACCUAAUCAGAAAGCCACGGCUAACUACGUGCCAGCAGCCGCGGUAAUACGUAGGUGGCAAGCGUUAUCCGGAAUUAUUGGGCGUAAAGCGCGCGUAGGCGGUUUUUUAAGUCUGAUGUGAAAGCCCACGGCUCAACCGUGGAGGGUCAUUGGAAACUGGAAAACUUGAGUGCAGAAGAGGAAAGUGGAAUUCCAUGUGUAGCGGUGAAAUGCGCAGAGAUAUGGAGGAACACCAGUGGCGAAGGCGACUUUCUGGUCUGUAACUGACGCUGAUGUGCGAAAGCGUGGGGAUCAAACAGGAUUAGAUACCCUGGUAGUCCACGCCGUAAACGAUGAGUGCUAAGUGUUAGGGGGUUUCCGCCCCUUAGUGCUGCAGCUAACGCAUUAAGCACUCCGCCUGGGGAGUACGACCGCAAGGUUGAAACUCAAAGGAAUUGACGGGGACCCGCACAAGCGGUGGAGCAUGUGGUUUAAUUCGAAGCAACGCGAAGAACCUUACCAAAUCUUGACAUCCUUUGACAACUCUAGAGAUAGAGCCUUCCCCUUCGGGGGACAAAGUGACAGGUGGUGCAUGGUUGUCGUCAGCUCGUGUCGUGAGAUGUUGGGUUAAGUCCCGCAACGAGCGCAACCCUUAAGCUUAGUUGCCAUCAUUAAGUUGGGCACUCUAAGUUGACUGCCGGUGACAAACCGGAGGAAGGUGGGGAUGACGUCAAAUCAUCAUGCCCCUUAUGAUUUGGGCUACACACGUGCUACAAUGGACAAUACAAAGGGCAGCGAAACCGCGAGGUCAAGCAAAUCCCAUAAAGUUGUUCUCAGUUCGGAUUGUAGUCUGCAACUCGACUACAUGAAGCUGGAAUCGCUAGUAAUCGUAGAUCAGCAUGCUACGGUGAAUACGUUCCCGGGUCU